rnacentral:rRNA from 1 species
UAUCAGAAGUGCGAAUGCUGACAUAAGUAACGAUAAAGCGGGUGAAAAGCCCGCUCGCCGGAAGACCAAGGGUUCCUGUCCAACGUUAAUCGGGGCAGGGUGAGUCGACCCCUAAGGCGAGGCCGAAAGGCGUAGUCGAUGGGAAACGGGUUAAUAUUCCCGUACUUGGUGUUACUGCGAAGGGGGGACGGAGAAGGCUAUGUUGGCCGGGCGACGGUUGUCCCGGUUUAAGCGUGUAGGUGUGUGUUCCAGGUAAAUCCGGUUCACUUUAACACUGAGGCGUGAUGACGAGGCACUACGGUGCUGAAGCAACAAAUGCCCUGCUUCCAGGAAAAGCCUCUAAGCAUCAGGUAACAUCAAAUCGUACCCCAAACCGACACAGGUGGUCAGGUAGAGAAUACCAAGGCGCUUGAGAGAACUCGGGUGAAGGAACUAGGCAAAAUGGUGCCGUAACUUCGGGAGAAGGCACGCUGACACGUAGGUGAAGUGAUUUACUCAUGGAGCUGAAGUCAGUCGAAGAUACCAGCUGGCUGCAACUGUUUAUUAAAAACACAGCACUGUGCAAACACGAAAGUGGACGUAUACGGUGUGACGCCUGCCCGGUGCCGGAAGGUUAAUUGAUGGGGUCAGCGCAAGCGAAGCUCCUGAUCGAAGCCCCGGUAAACGGCGGCCGUAACUAUAACGGUCCUAAGGUAGCGAAAUUCCUUGUCGGGUAAGUUCCGACCUGCACGAAUGGCGUAAUGAUGGCCAGGCUGUCUCCACCCGAGACUCAGUGAAAUUGAACUCGCUGUGAAGAUGCAGUGUACCCGCGGCAAGACGGAAAGACCCCGUGAACCUUUACUAUAGCUUGACACUGAACAUUGAGCCUUGAUGUGUAGGAUAGGUGGGAGGCUUUGAAGUGUGGACGCCAGUCUGCAUGGAGCCGACCUUGAAAUACCACCCUUUAAUGUUUGAUGUUCUAACGUGGACCCGUGAUCCGGGUUGCGGACAGUGUCUGGUGGGUAGUUUGACUGGGGCGGUCUCCUCCUAAAGAGUAACGGAGGAGCACGAAGGUUGGCUAAUCCUGGUCGGACAUCAGGAGGUUAGUGCAAUGGCAUAAGCCAGCUUGACUGCGAGCGUGACGGCGCGAGCAGGUGCGAAAGCAGGUCAUAGUGAUCCGGUGGUUCUGAAUGGAAGGGCCAUCGCUCAACGGAUAAAAGGUACUCCGGGGAUAACAGGCUGAUACCGCCCAAGAGUUCAUAUCGACGGCGGUGUUUGGCACCUCGAUGUCGGCUCAUCACAUCCUGGGGCUGAAGUAGGUCCCAAGGGUAUGGCUGUUCGCCAUUUAAAGUGGUACGCGAGCUGGGUUUAGAACGUCGUGAGACAGUUCGGUCCCUAUCUGCCGUGGGCGCUGGAGAACUGAGGGGGGCUGCUCCUAGUACGAGAGGACCGGAGUGGACGCAUCACUGGUGUUCGGGUUGUCAUGCCAAUGGCACUGCCCGGUAGCUAAAUGCGGAAGAGAUAAGUGCUGAAAGCAUCUAAGCACGAAACUUGCCCCGAG